CCUACGGGCGGCUGCAGUGGGGAAUAUUGGACAAUGGGGGCAACCCUGAUCCAGCCAUGCCGCGUGUGUGAAGAAGGCCCUCGGGUUGUAAAGCACUUUCAGUGAGGAAGAACGCCUGGUGGUUAAUACCCAUCAGGAAAGACAUCACUCACAGAAGAAGCACCGGCUAACUCCGUGCCAGCAGCCGCGGUAAUACGGAGGGUGCGAGCGUUAAUCGGAAUUACUGGGCGUAAAGCGCGCGUAGGUGGCUUGAUAAGCCGGUUGUGAAAGCCCCGGGCUCAACCUGGGAACGGCAUCCGGAACUGUCAAGCUAGAGUGCAGGAGAGGAAGGUAGAAUUCCCGGUGUAGCGGUGAAAUGCGUAGAGCUCGGGAGGAAUACCAGUGGCGAAGGCGGCCUUCUGGACUGACACUGACACUGAGGUGCGAAAGCGUGGGUAGCAAACAGGAUUAGAUACCCUGGUAGUC
rnacentral:rRNA from 1 species